rnacentral:rRNA from 1 species
CGGACCGGCGCACGGGUGAGUAACACGUAUGCAACCUGCCCUCUUCAGGGGGACAACCUUCCGAAAGGGAGGCUAAUCCCGCGUAUAUCGGUUUCGGGCAUCCGAGAUCGAGGAAAGAUUCAUCGGAAGAGGAUGGGCAUGCGGCGCAUUAGCUAGACGGCGGGGUAACGGCUCACCGUGGCGACGAUGCGUAGGGGUUCUGAGAGGAAGGUCCCCCCACACUGGUACUGAGACACGGACCAGACUCCUACGGGAGGCAGCAG